rnacentral:misc_RNA from 1 species
UCCGGCUUAACGCCGGCAGUCUCCCUAGAGUGCCCAACUGAAUGGUGGCAACUAAGGACGAGGGUUGCGCUCGUUGCGGGACUUAACCCAACACCUCACGGCACGAGCUGACGACAGCCAUGCAGCACCUGUGCUAGUACCCGACUCUACGGGUCGCCGACCCUUUCGGGCGACUACUACCAGCAUGUCAAGCCCUGGUAAGGUUGUUCGCGUUGCAUCGAAUUAAUCCACAUCAUCCACCGCUUGUGCGGGUCCCCGUCAAUUCCUUUGAGUUUUAGCCUUGCGGCCGUACUCCCCAGGCGGUCAACUUCACGCGCUAGCUUCGUUACCAAGGAAUUACUUCCCCGACAACCAGUUGACAUCGUUUAGGGCGUGGACUAC